GGAUGGGCCCGCGGCCUAUCAGCUUGUUGGUGGGGUGAUGGCCUACCAAGGCGACGACGGGUAGCCGGCCUGAGAGGGCGACCGGCCACACUGGGACUGAGAUACGGCCCAGACUCCUACGGGAGGCAGCAGUGGGGAAUAUUGCGCAAUGGGCGGAAGCCUGACGCAGCGACGCCGCGUGGGGGAUGACGGCCCUAGGGUUGUAAAGCUCUUUUACCCGGGAAGAUAAUGACUGUACCGGGAGAAUAAGCCCCGGCUAACUCCGUGCCAGCAGCCGCGGUAAUACGGAGGGGGCUAGCGUUGUUCGGAAUUACUGGGCGUAAAGCGCACGUAGGCGGCUUUGUAAGUUAGAGGUGAAAGCCCGGGGCUCAACCCCGGAAUUGCCUUUAAGACUGCAUCGCUUGAACGUCGGAGAGGUGAGUGGAAUUCCGAGUGUAGAGGUGAAAUUCGUAGAUAUUCGGAAGAACACCAGUGGCGAAGGCGGCUCACUGGGCGACUGUUGACGCUGAGGUACGAAAGCGUGGGGAGCAAACAGGAUUAGAUACCCUGGUAGUCCACGCCGUAAACGAUGAUAACUAGCUGUCCGGGCACUUAGUGCUUGGGUGGCGCAGCUAACGCAUUAAGUUAUCCGCCU
rnacentral:rRNA from 1 species